GAUGAACGCUGGCGGCGUGCCUAAUACAUGCAAGUCGAGCGAACAGACGAGGAGCUUGCUCCUUCGACGUUAGCGGCGGACGGGUGAGUAACACGUAGGUAACCUACCUAUAAGACUGGGAUAACUUCGGGAAACCGGAGCUAAUACCGGAUAAUAUUUCGAACCGCAUGGUUCGAUAGUGAAAGAUGGCUUUGCUAUCACUUAUAGAUGGACCUGCGCCGUAUUAGCUAGUUGGUAAGGUAACGGCUUACCAAGGCAACGAUACGUAGCCGACCUGAGAGGGUGAUCGGCCACACGGGAACUGAGACACGGUCAAGACUACUACGGGAGGCAGCAGUAGGGAAUCUUCCGCAAUGGGCGAAAGCCUGACGGAGCAACGCCGCGUGAGUGAUGAAGGUCUUCGGAUCGUAAAACUCUGUUAUUAGGGAAGAACAAACGUGUACGUAACUGUGCACGUCUUGACGGUACCUAAUCAGAAAGCAACGGCUAACUACGUG
rnacentral:rRNA from 1 species